AUGACGAGGAGGUGGGAAGAGAGCGGCGGCGGUGGAGUGGAGGUGCGUGGAGAAGACGAGUGGGGAAGAUUUCGAUGGCUCCACCUCUUUCUUUCCCUUGCCGAUGUUCAUCAUAGCGAGCACAGGAGAUGACGAGAAGAUUGGUCCGCACUUUCACCUGCCAUCGAUCUGCCAAAUUUCUCAAGAAUUCAAGAGCUAGCUGCCUGAGUUGCCUGACUUUGGAAGGAGAGAGAGGGCACCUUCCAGCCAUCACAUGGCAAGACGUCUCGGCACUUUGACUCAAUGGCCACGAGAAUGGAUGGGCAGCUUGGAGCUAACGACAUGAUCAUAAUGAUCAAGAAGGCAUGAAAUUCAUUUAUUUGAGUGGCAAAAGAAGGAUUCGGGUGAGGAGAUGAAUCAUGGGGAGCUAUGUCUUCCCGGCUAGAUCAGGGUGUCGAGACCGGCAACCUCGUCGUCUCCACGUUGUCCCCAAGUAUACUCGUUUCUUGCCAAUACAUUUUUGCUCUCCUAUUGUGGUGUAUGGUAAAUCUAUAUUGUGAUAUAUUCUGUGAUCCCUAAUUUUGCUUUUACUGAUUUGUUUUUAUGGUUUAGGGUGCACGCCCACAGCUCACCUUGGAUUAUUAAGUACAUUGGAGGCUCACGAGCAACGAUGCUGGCAAGGUAGACUGUCCAAGGAACAUGUUUGCUCGCUACCAUUCCUAAAUUUUGAUGGGUAUAUUAGGUUGCACUUAGAUCUAGAUGUACUAAUUUAUCUCUUUUUUGUUUAUCUUUAUUUAUAUUGGCUCAUACUGCUGUGUGGAUAUGAAACUAUUUACUCUUGUGUUAUCUGAUAUGGAAAUCUUACCUUGAUAUGCAGGUUUACUACUAUUUUACAUUUUGGUUCAUUCUGAUCCAACCGAACUAACCAAAUGGAUUUGAGGUUGUCAUUCUUGUCAGGUUAGUGUGUGUCUUUAUUUGUGGCAAAUCACAAACAACCGAAUUGUACAAAUAGUGUCCUAGCUAUUAACCUUAUUCUUCACGUCACUCAAGGCCAUUAUUAUUUUAUUUUGGCUGCAAUAAGGUGUUUAUAAUUUCCCCACUAUUAUUUAUUUGCAUUAUCUAAAAAGAAUUUAUUGCUGCUUUUUGUAUGCGAAGGUUGAUUUGAAUACAAUAUAAUGGUUUUUCAUCAUCCCAGACCCAAGUAAAUCAUUUUCUUCUUAUUUCAUCUGCCCCACUUCUCUACAAAAAAGCAUGUCCACUUUUCAUGUUUGUUUUUCAUUAAUGGACGAUCUACCUGCAGAUGGUCGGGAUGCACCACAGAGGCUGAAGGUUGUUGCAAUGAUACAUGACAAAGACACUGCUGAUGGUCGGGAAGCAUGCUCAGGACUCAGGCUAUUGCAAUGGCACAUUGACAGCUGCUAGAGUUCAUUGCCAAGGUGCCCUAGGAGAUAAGGAGUUUCUUAUUUACUAUCCAGGCAUUCAGAGGAGUUGUUCCAUGUGAAGGAGAAGGAGCUCCAAUUUCGUCAUGCAUAUGAAUAGAUUAUCCACCAGGUAGAUUUCGGUUGCGGUAGCAGCUCUAUUUGAUGGAACAGGUCAAGGCAUCACCCAUCAUGUAUAUAUUGCUUGUGCAUAAGUUUCAACCAGUUUUAUCAACAAUGGUCUUUAUUUUCCCACAAGAUAUUGUUCUCCCACUGUGCUCACUUUUCUAUCCAAUUUAUCUUAUUUGCUGGCUACAAAGUACCAGUUGAUAUAUCACUUGUAUUACUUUCCAGACUGUUUGACAGGCUGCCAAAUCCACGUUUUUCUCUCAACAAAGUACCAGUUGAUAUAUCGCUUGUGCAUAAGCUUCCAUCAGUUUUAUCUCCAUUGGUCUUCAUUUUCUCACAAGAUAUUGUUCUCCCGGCGUACAUAUUUUCUCUCUCCAAUUUAGUUUAUUUGUUGGUUACAAAGUACCAGCUGAUAUAUCACUUGUAUUACUUUCCAGGUUGUGUGACAUGCUGCCUAAUCUAUGAUUUUCUCUCUAGAGAGUAUGUUCAGCCACAAAGAAUUUUUGAUUUUUGAAUGCUCGAAAACUUCUUGCAUUCAAUAGAGCCUCAGUUCCGAAAAAGAGAGUGUAAGCAAAGUGUUGGGUGCGCAUCGGGAAUAUUUUAGAUGUGGGAGGAAGAGAGGAGCAAGCUCCAGCUUGGAGGCAUAGUUAUUUGAGAAUUUCUUUCUGGCGAAAGCUAUUUGGUGAAAAAGUGGUCAUCUUAUCAUCAAAUGCUGCCCAAGAGCUGCAGUGCAAACAAGCAGUAACUUCACCUGUUGUGGUAAGUUUGCUGAUCCCAGAUAUUCCUUAAAACGCUAAUCAUUUGUUUGGUUGGUUCUCAGAUUCUUUGGUGUUAUUUCCAAGUGGUGUGUUUUAAUCACCUACACAUCUGAACCAGCAUAUCCAAUAGUUCAUGGUUUACUGGCGAUGGCUCUUUUUUCGGUGAUAUCCGUGCAUCUGAAGGUCUACUCUUGCCGGUGGAAGUGCUCAAACUCUUAGCCAAGUGUGCCCAUUUUUUUGCUGCAAAUUUAUUUUUGUUAUUGUUUACAAGUUACGUGCAAAAUACCGCAAAAUGUAAACAUGGACAUAUUCUUUUGUAACACGUUCUGGUUGCCUUGCGCCCCAUAAUUUCAUGGCAUGUAUGUUCCAGAGUU